UCCCCGUUAUCCUGGGCAGUCCUUCCAGAGUUCCCGGCAUGACCCGGUAGCAACUGGGAGCGGGGGUUGCGCUCGUUGCGGGACUUAACCCAACAUCUCACGACACGAGCUGACGACAGCCAUGCAGCACCUGUCUUGGGACUCCGAAGAGCGACCAUGGUUUCUCACGGUCUUCCCCAAGAUGUCAAGCCCAGGUAAGGUUCUUCGCGUUGCGUCGAAUUAAACCACAUGCUCCACCGCUUGUGCGGGCCCCCGUCAAUUCCUUUGAGUUUCAGCCUUGCGGCCGUACUCCCCAGGCGGUGCGCUUAUCGCGUUGGCUGCGACACAGAAGGCUGAACCCCCUGCGUCUAGCACCCAUCGUUUACGGCGUGGACUAC
rnacentral:misc_RNA from 1 species